GGGGCUGAUUCAGGAUUCGACAGGAUCAUGAAGGCUUGUGGAGCAUGCCGAGGGGCGGUUGGCCUCGUUAAAAGCCGCAAAAAAAUAGUCGCAAACGACGAAAACUUCGAAUCGUACGCUCUAGCAGCGUAAUAGUAGCUUAAUACCCUACCGAUUCUCUCUCGCCCUAGCCUCCGCCUGUAGGACUGGGAACAACGAGGGAUCAAACCUAAACAGGAUCGCGUGGAAGCUUUGACUCGAGAGCGGAAGCGUUAAACUCAAUUCGGGUAUGUCUUUGUGUGGCGUGUCUUUCCGCAGCCCACUGACGAGAAUAAAGAAAGACUAAGCAUGUAGCGCCAUUAGUUAGACUGAUUUUGGACGCGGGUUCAACUCCCGCCAGCUCCACCA
rnacentral:tmRNA from 2 species